rnacentral:rRNA from 1 species
GUAGACUCAUGCGGUAGUGACCCCCCCUUCACAGGGCGCGUGUCGCACGUAUGUUAUACGCACAGGUCUCCGAUAGCAACGAACGUGACCGUACUCUAUUGUUGCAGCGACAAUACCUUUCAACGGGUAUUACCGCUGCUUAGCAAGAUUCGUCUUGCAUUAAACUAUAGAGACCGCUGUUUCUUCUUUAAACCAGAGGAAGGAUACGGCAAUAACAGGUCUGUGAUGCCCUCAGAUGUUCCGGGCUGCACACGUGCUACAAUGAUCAUUGCACUGUGCAUCUAACCCAAUGUGCGCGGACGCCGCCGUGCGUAUAUACUUUAUUGUGUAUGCGUAUCGUGCGUGCGACCGCGCCGAACCUGCUUCGAAAGUAAACAUUUCCAGCGGGUAAUCCAUUAGAAGUAAUGACUCGCAUAGACCAUGGCACACUAUAUGUACCCGCGGGUUCUACCCGGCUCGCCUUUGUGUGAGUGCAGUGCGUAGCUCGUUGUUUGGUACGUGCCACUCCGUAUUAAUUCAUACGUGGGGAUAGAUCAUUGUUUAAUUGUUGGUCUCGGUCUUAACUAGGAAUGCCUUGUACGGGUCUUUGGUUCAACAUACCACCCGGAAUACGUCCCUGCCCUUUGUACACACCGCCCGUCGCUCUUACCGAUGGAUUAUACUAUGAAUCUAUAGGACUGCCAAAGUUGCUCUUCGCGGCGCGCUUAGUGGAAAUAUAUA